UACGGGGGGAGCAAGCGUUGUUCGGAUUUACUGGGCGUAAAGGGCGCGUAGGCGGCAUGUUAAGUCAGCUGUGAAAUCUCCGAGCUUAACUCGGAACUGUCAGCUGAUACUGAUGUGCUUGAGUGCGGAAGGGGCAAUCGGAAUUCUUGGUGUAGCGGUGAAAUGCGUAGAUAUCAGGAGGAACACCGGCGGUGUAGACGGCUUUCUGGACCGUAGCUGACGCUGAGACACGAAAGCGUGGGUAGCAAACAGG
rnacentral:rRNA from 1 species